rnacentral:rRNA from 1 species
GACGAACGCUGGCGGCGUGCUUAACACAUGCAAGUCGAACGGUGAAGCCCCUUCGGGGGUGGAUCAGUGGCGAACGGGUGAGUAACACGUGAGCAACCUGCCCCUGACUCUGGGAUAACUUCGGGAAACCGGAGCUAAUACUGGAUAUGACGCUCUCACGCAUGUGGGGGUGUGGAAAGUUUUUCGGUUGGGGAUGGGCUCGCGGCCUAUCAGCUUGUUGGUGGGGUGAUGGCCUACCAAGGCGACGACGGGUAGCCGGCCUGAGAGGGCGACCGGCCACACUGGGACUGAGGCACGGCCCAGACUCCUACGGGAGGCAGCAGUGGGGAAUAUUGCGCAAUGGGCGAAAGCCUGACGCAGCGACGCCGCGUGAGGGAUGAAGGCCUUCGGGUUGUAAACCUCUUUCAGCGCCGAAGAAGCGAAAGUGACGGUAGGCGCAGAAGAAGCACCGGCUAACUACGUGCCAGCAGCAGCCGCGGUAA